rnacentral:rRNA from 1 species
CAGCAGCCACGGUAACACGGAGGGUGCAAGCGUUAAUCGGAAUUACUGGGCGUAAAGCGCGCGUAGGCGGUUACUCAAGUCAGAGGUGAAAGCCCGGGGCUCAACCCCGGAACUGCCUUUGAAACUAGGUGACUAGAAUCUUGGAGAGGUCAGUGGAAUUCCGAGUGUAGAGGUGAAAUUCGUAGAUAUUCGGAAGAACACCAGUGGCGAAGGCGACUGACUGGACAAGUAUUGACGCUGAGGUGCGAAAGCGUGGGGAGCAAACAGGAUUAGAGACCCCUGUAGUCCCUGUCUCUUAUAC